rnacentral:lncRNA from 1 species
CAGAGAUAAAAAAUUUGUGUUAGGAUUUUUUUCAUCAUGUCAGUUUUCUUAAGAGACAGUAGAUAUUCAUGAAAUUUUCUUUGAGCAUCUUUUAGUCUGCAGACUGUUCAGCAUCACUUAUUCUUAGCCAUUUAUCUAGUUUUGGUCAAGUAAGAACGAAGAAGCACUGACUAUAUAAGUGUACAUGAUCUUGUGUGGGACUAAUGGCUUUCUUGAGAUUAAUAAGGAGCAAAAAUGUAAAUAAAUCUAACUCAUUUAAGAGUUAAGGAUAGUCUCACAAUGAAAAGUUAAAAUUUGUGUUCUGGUUUCAGAGUCACCAAUGGACACAUACUGAUGGUGCUGGGACAACCAAGAAGUUGCACUUCAUCUUGGCUAGAAGCAAGGUGGGUUUUCAGAUGCACCAAAGAAAGUUUUAAAAUCAGCUAUAUGUACAAUUGUUUAUGAUAUGUCCUUCAUUCCAUGUAAGUAAAUAGUUCAAGGAUUUCUUGGUU